rnacentral:lncRNA from 1 species
UUUUGUGGACCCGAGUCUGAUCUUAUUUAUUCUGGACUUUUGUUUUGCCGUUUUGACUGGAUCGGGCGGGUUAUAUUGGUAUUGGGCAGGAAAAUUUGUGGUUGGGUACAUGUACGCAUUCAGGGAGAAAGAGUAUUACCUUGGUUGUGCAUGUGACGAGUUAUAUGCACCUACAUUGGCUCCCUUCUCUUUAUAUGGCUUCACUCUUGGGUCGCAAUUUUUUCGAGGUAACCAAUUUAGUCGAUUUUUGGAAGUGAUGAAUUUCGAAAUUUCUGCAACUUCAUUCGAUUCGUACGGUAUACUCUUGUCAUCAGGUAUACUGGAGAAGCUGGGUAUGGAACCGCAAUGGGUUAGGAUUGGCAAGUUCAAGAAAGCAGGGGACCAAGUGAUACGAAAGACAAUCUCUGAGCCGCAUCUCGAGGUCCUGAACAGCAUGCUCGAUGGCCGAUACGAAAAUUGGGUUGAAACUGUUUCUUCCGCCACAGGUAACAAUAAAGAUAAAACCUCUGUAGCUACAAUAUGUGCACAUGACUUAUAGAAACUGGUAAAACGAGCAGGAAAGACGAGAGAGGAAGUGGAAAGCUUCAUUAAUGAAGGUGUGUACGAGAUGGAGCGGGUGAAAGAAGCGGGGUUGAUAACUGACAUACUCUACGAAGAGGACGUAAGUUAAUUAGUUCCGUCACGAAAUAGUUGCAAGAAAAUUUACUGUGACAUAAAAAGUUUAUAUCGAAAGUCGCUCCUCUAAUACCUGAAAUCCUGGCUACGCCACUGUAUGUAUGUAGGUGAUGUCGAUGUUGAAAGCGAGACUUGGAGUUCCAAAGGAGAAAGAUCUGCCUACUGUUGACUAUAAGUUCGUACUAAACCCUUAACUCUAAAGUCUAAAUCUUUGAUUUAUACACGAAAGUAAAUGAAUGAAAAAAUGAGUGAACAAAAUGUAGGCGAUACUCGAAAGUAACAAAUUGGACACUGGGGUUAAACGCCGGAGAAGAUUCAAUAGCUGUGAUCCGAGCAAGUGGCAUGGUCGUCGGUAAAUGGGGUAUAUUGAACUUUCCUGGCUCUGCCAUAACUCCCGACAACAUCAUAAAACAGUUUCGUAUAAUCCGAGGUAUUUCACCGAAUGCAAUACUUGAUCGAUCUCAUCACAGUCAUUUUUUCUCCUUUUCUCUUAAUUCCGGACUGUGUUUAUUGUUUUUGGCAGACUCGAAGAAAAUCAAAGCAGUAAUCUUCAGGAUCGAUUGCUGUGGCGGCGAGGCUCUUGCAUCAGAUAUGUAAGUGAUACGAGAGUUGGUUCACCUACUUAACUCAUUCACCCUAAUGACGACUAAUUUCAUGGUUUGAUUCAUGUGGCAGAAUAUGGAAGGAGAUGCAGCUACUGGCGAAAGAAAAACCGGUUAUAGCAUCACUGUCUGACAUGGCAGCCAGUGGCGGCUACUACAUUGCGAUGGGAGCAACUGCCAUCGUCGCUGAGAAGUUGUCGGUAGCUUCUUCGAUCGGUAUCAUUCAAGGUAUAUAACAUAUUGCUACAAAAUAAUAUUGCUAAGUGAAGGAAGUUUAAUUUGAUCAUAAUGUUUUGAUGUGUUAGGUAAAAUGAACUUCUCCGAGUUUCACAAGAAAAUUGGGUUGAACAAGCACAUUGUAUCAAGGGGUAGAUACGCCGAGUUCCCUACGUGUGGACAUAGACCCCUGAGGUAAGUAAUUAGAGAUAUCGGUAUACUGGGGUAGAUUCGUCAAUGUGAGUUUCAGUUCGGGCUGCGACUGAGCUGGAUUGAGCCAACUAAUACCCUAGUGAAUAAUUAGCUACAUUGCAUGGUUGUUUUUUUAGGCCGGACGAGAAAGCCCUUCUGGAGAACCAAACUAUGUACUGGUACAAAAUAUAUCGCGAUAGAGCAGCAUUGUCUCGUAACAUGAGCGUGAGUAGUAAUCCAUUUUCGAAACCAUACUAUUCUCUAAUAUAUAAAGUUCGAUCCACAUUUUUUGGUCCUAAAUUUAUCUCAUUGACAUCGAUCGAUGGACAGAUAGAAGAUACGGAAAAGGUGGCACAAGGCAGAGUAUGGAGUGGAGAGGAAGCGGUUUCAAACGGUUUAGCAGAUGCAGUUGGCGGUAUGGCUCGGGCUAUAGCCAUCGCCAAGCACAAGGCUAAUAUCCCCCUCGAUAAACCCGUGAGUGGACUGGACCGUGGUUCAUAGAGGCUCUUGUUAUCUGUACUUCACCUACUUUGUUAUGUUCAAAAAUAUUUAAUUUUGCUUGUGCUGUAUAAUGUAUGCAGGUAAAGAUUGUGGAGCUAUCGAAACCGAAUUCGUCACUGCCGGAGUACAUAGCUGCUUUCGGGACUACUAUAGCUGGACUAGGCAGAGGAUCAGCGAUGGUAUCGGCAUACAGCGGUGCUCAAGCUCGACUCGAUGGGGGGGAUUCCGACAACCCGAUUUUUGCUAUAAUGAAGUAUUUUCUCGAGUUCAGUCAGACCGGGGCGGUGCAGGGCUCUAUGAAUGAGCUCUUGUAAGUUCAUAUUUGGAGAGACCUGGGACGGAUUUGUCUGUGACCAAUAAUCGAGUUUCAUCUAUGGUUACAUUUGAAUGAAACAUAUUAUCUUAAUAAACAAAAUAUGUCGGGAGUUUCAUAAUUUGGUACAUGCUUCUGAAAUAUUCCUGAAUUCCAUCCCCUUUAUUUUUUACAUUAAUUAUGUUAAGAUUUAAAAAUUGGACCCCAAUUAGAAUACCGUCAUAAUUAUUAUAACAACUCAAUUACUUUACAAUUUCGAUAACGUUAUUAAAUUAGUGUCUAAUGGUGAAAGAUGCUGUAACAGCUUGAUAUGUUGUUGAAUAAUUUUAGAACAUUAUAAACUCCCCGGGGACACUGACGGAUACAUGAGGAGCCAGGGUGAGUCCCGGUUGACUCCAUCUUCGGUCCCGAACAUUGAAAUCGAGCAUAUUUUUAUGAUUUUCUUAAAUCUGGCGCAGUGUAUUCGGUGAUAUUUAAAGUUUUAUUCUCCCAAUCGUGGUAUUUUUAACUCUGGCUUCGAAAUUACUUGAUCCUGCUCAGUGUAUAUGUUUCAAUUUUUAUUCCGCCCUUGGUCCUUUAGUAUUAUAAAAUACGAAAAUUUUAAUAACGAUAUGCAACCUUUUGUUCAAUAUUUCUUAUAUUAUGAAUCCCAAUUAGUAGAAAUCUCGCUACCGGCUACACCACUAAUUUCUAUUUAUAAAUGAGUUAUUAUAUAUAUAAUGAGGUAUCGGUACCUUAUAUACUAAAAACCUCAUAUUUUUAAAAUUAAAAAAUUAAAAAAUAAAUCCUAAAGUCUUUAUACCUUAUAUACUAAAAACCUCAUAUUUUUAAAUAAAUCCUAAAGUCUUUAUAUUAAAUCCUAAAUACUAGAGAAUGAUGCUAACGCCUAAACACUAAAUUAUAACCCUCAAACACUGCAUUAUAAAUUCAAACUCAAAAUCGUAUCACAAACUCUAACUGUUGAUCAUAAAUCAAGAUUAAUAGAUCCUAAACCCUUAUCAAACUCUAACAGCUAACACUAUACCCAGAUGGCUAACACAAACCUUCAACCUUAAAAUUUUUAAUUUUAAACACAAAAUAAAAUAAAAUUUAAUAUAUAGGGUACCGACACCUGAUACCAAUUUUUUUCCAUAUAUAUAUAAGAAAAAGCAUAAAAGUUAUACAUCAACAAAAAUAUAGCUGAGGGAACAAACCGCAGCAACAAUCACAAAAUUACAAGGCUCUAUAACUUAGUAGCGACCUUCAAAAACACCUUACACCACUAGUUGUAGUGAAGGUUUACAUCAACUAGACUUUUUUUUUGAAAACAAAACUACACUAUUUCUUCUCAACCGUGCUUGAAUAACUCUCGCCCGAGUGUUGAUUCAGGAGGCGUUGGGACGUGGAUUUAGGGCGCUUGACAUCAUCGAUGACUCAACGACGUCUAUCGUCGUCAGAUUUUUGUCAAAAAAACAAUACUAUUUCAAAUAACAUUUGAGAUAUCUCAUGCCAAAUGAACCAUGGUGUCCCACCCGCAUGACUGCUUUGAUUUGUCAUUACCCUAGUUUAAGGUUUUACCCAGAUAUUCCAAUCCCGUUAGACUGAUAUGCUUAAUUAAUUGCUAGGAUAUCCACAUCGGUUUCAAUUUUAAUUAAUCUUUUUCUAAUUGUCCGCUAAUUAAUUAAUGCUCGCUCACUGCAUGUCAAGCUAGCCAAUGGUUUUUUGGUUUCUAUUUACUUAAUUGUCUUCUGCAACAAAACAAAAACUUAUUAAAACAAACGGAGAGGAAACAAACGACAUGCAGAGACCGUUGGACCCAAAUUGAAGAAAGUAAAGCCGCCGUUACAUUGCUGCAUGCAUAAAGCAAUUUUUUCCACCGGUCCGCUCUAUAAAAUGUACUAAGUGGGGAGUCUUUCUCCUAAUCACCAACUUUCUCAGUUUCUUUCUUCCCAUCGAAAACCCCCCCUUCGCCGGAGAAAUGGCUGAGCUAAAACAAUUACUAAACCCUCCCAAUAUCCCCUGCCGCCACCGUACCUCUGCCUCACUCCUCUCCAUCCCAAACAAAAACUUCCUCCGCCAGCCGCUUCCUCAAUCAACCGCCGCCAUCCGCCGCCGCCACAUCCAACUCAAUCACCACGGUUCCCUCUUUUCAUCUCCCCACUCCAUGAUCAAAAGAAACCCAUCUCCAAUUCAAGCUUUCGAUUCCGCCGAAACAGAGGUCAUCACCAUCGACUCCAACAACGGCGCCACCGCCGUCGGCCCUGUAGAACCUGCACCAACCAGGUUUCAAAAACAGGCGGCGGCCAAGGACGAGUUACCCGGAGAAGGGUGUCCGGCGUUCGAAAUCCGAAACAAAGAAAUCGAGGGAUGGGAGAAGUUGCUUCUGAAGCUCCGGCUGCUUGUCGCUCCUCCGUGGCAGAGAGUUGCUCAUGGCAGCGUUCUGUGUAUCGACUUAGGCGGACCGGUCUGUGACCCUGUGUUAAUUAAUUAAAUCUCUUUUUGUUGAUUAAUUUUUAGUGUAUUUUGGUUCGUUUUCCUGACGAUUUUGUGAAUUUUUUUGGUUGCGUGCAUGUUCUAGAUAUCGGACGUUAAAGGACGGUGGUUAUCGCCGGCACUGACGCUGCCGGAGAUUUGUGAGAAUUUCGCCAAGGCGGCGAACGAUCCUCGGAUUUCGGGGAUUCUUGUGAGGUUCAACUUCAUAGAGUGUGGGUGGGCGAAAUUGGAUGAAAUUCGUCGCCAUAUUUUGGAAUUCCGGAAAUCAGGUUCCACUAAUUAACCAUUUCAGUCAGUUAAUCGGUUAAUGAUUUUAAAUACCUUAUUACCUUUGACCCGAUGAAUUUAAACUGACUGUGUCUCAUAAUUUGUUCACGGUUAUAUCUAAUUUGGUCACGGUUAAGGGCUAAAAUCGAUUAGAACGGUCGAACCAACACCAAUCCAGUUGGUUUAUGGAUAAUAGAUUUGAAAUCUUUUUAAUCCACUGUCUGACCGAAAUCCAUCAAUUAUUAACCAACCGACCAACUCCCUCUCAGAAAGUCAAUGAUAACACAACUACUCACCAACAAUACAAAUGGACAAUAAUUAAGGGGUCAGAAUCGGAUCGGGAUACCGGUCAAACCAGGGAAUGUUGUCCAAAUCUAUGUAUUUUGUAGAUCUAACCCCGACCUGAUUUUAUUUAGUCCUGACUUUCUGACUCGAAUCAUGAUUUAACCGGGCUGAGUCGGGCCCAGUGGAGAAUUUUAUAUAGAGUUUUGUCAGUGGUCGAUGAUCGAGGUUAAUUAUCUUUUCUAAUCGAAUAACUGUGCAUUUCGGUUUUGGGCAGGAAAAUUUGUGGUUGGUUACAUGUAUGCCUUUUGGGAGAAAGAGUAUUACCUUGGUUGUGCAUGUGACGAAUUAUAUGCACCUACAUUGGCUCCCUUCUCUUUGUAUGGCUUCACUCUACCUGCGG